rnacentral:rRNA from 1 species
CAGUAGCCGCGGUAAUACAGAGGGUGCAAGCGUUAAUCGGAAUUACUGGGCGUAAAGCGUGCGUAGGCGGUUUCGUAAGUCGGGUGUGAAAGCCCCGGGCUCAACCUGGGAAUUGCAUUCGAGACUGCGAAGCUAGGGUGCGGAAGAGGGAAGCGGAAUUUCCGGUGAAGCGGUGAAAUGCGUAGAUAUCGGAAGGAACAUCAGUGACGAAAGCGGCUUCCUGGUCCAGCGCCGACGCUCAGGCACGAAAGCGUGGGGAGCAAACAGGAUUAGAUACCCCUGUAGUCCCUGUCUCUUAUAC